rnacentral:tRNA from 1 species
GUGGCUUUAGUUUAACUGGUAAAAUGCCGCGUUGUGGGCGCGGAGAACAGGGUUCGAGGCCCGAAUGCCACCCCA